rnacentral:rRNA from 1 species
UACGUAGGGCGCAAGCGUUGUCCGGAAUUAUUGGGCGUAAAAGAGCUCGUAGGCGGCUUGUCACGUCGGUUGUGAAAGCCCGGGGCUUAACCCCGGGUCUGCAGUCGAUACGGGCAGGCUAGAGUGUGGUAGGGGAGAUCGGAAUUCCUGGUGUAGCGGUGAAAUGCGCAGAUAUCGAGAGGAACACCUGCGGCGAAGGCGGGUUGCUGGGCCGACACUGACGCUGAUGCGCGAAAGCCAGGGGAGCGAACGGG